UUUCACUUUCACUUUAAUUCAAUAUGAUUAAAUCUUUGAAAGUGUAAAUUUAUAGAUCUUCAUGGUAUUGUUUCAUUAUGUUAAACAUUUUGAUUGUGUCAGCAAUUUUAACAUAAAAAUGCAGAAUAAUAUCCACCUUCUCCUUCC